rnacentral:rRNA from 1 species
UACAGAGGGGGCAAGCGUUGUUCGGAAUUACUGGGCGUAAAGGGCGCGUAGGCGGCCCGCUAAGUCGAACGUGAAAUCCCUCGGCUCAACCGGGGAACUGCGUCUGAUACUGGGAGGCUUGAAUCCGGGAGAGGGAUGUGGAAUUCCAGGUGUAGCGGUGAAAUGCGUAGAUAUCUGGAGGAACACCGGUGGCGAAGGCGGCAUCCUGGACCGGUAUUGACGCUGAUGCGCGAAAGCCAGGGGAGCAAACGGG